UUAAAAAAAAGGGUUAAAUAUGCUUUUAGUUCGUGAUGUUUCACUGAUUUUUGGUUGUAGUCCCUGCAUGAAACUUUGAUAGCAUUUAGCCCUCGUAGUAUGGAAACAUGUACGUUUAGUCCCUAAUUUUGGAUGGCGUUAAUUUUUUGGUGAGGUGGCUAACGGCACUGCCACUCACCAUUGUCCACUGCCUGCCACGUAGUUUUAUUUUAAAUUGGAAUGAAAUGAAGCAUUUUAUUGUUCGUGAUCUAAGUUAGGGGGCAAAGAAAGUUGUGGAGGGAGGGCGUACAUGUGAAGGUUUGAGAUUGUGUUGUUGAAGAGUGAAAUGAAAGGUGAGAGUGCAUGAAAUGUUUGGAUGCGAAGGACGAUUGGUUCGGCAAAGUCUCAGAGCUGUGCAUCAUCUUCACGGUUACCACCUAAAAUGUGUGGUUGUGGUGAACCAUUGUUGCUUUUGAAGGCAACAACUGCGAAGAACAAAGGAAGACUAUUCUAUAGAUGUAGAAAUUGGGCAAGUAAUUCAAGUUGUAAUUACUUUGAAUGGCAUGAUGAAGAAGUUUCUCAAAUUGAAGGAAAAAGUGAAGAACUUGAAGUUUGUUUGGAAAAUGAUAAAGUUGUAGUGGAUCAAAAGAAGAAAUAGACAAGUUGAAAAGGAAAUUAGAAGAAGAGAAGAAAUUUGGGAAAAUGAUGUUUUACUUGUUUGUGUUGUC